AUGAAGCUGAAUAUCUCUUUCCCUGGCACUGGCUGUCAGAAGCUCAUUGAAGUGGAUGACCAACACAAGCUUCGCACAUUCUAUGAGAAGUGCAUGGCCACAGAAGUUGCUGCUGAUGCUCUUGGUGAGGAUUAGAAGGGUUAUGUGGCUGGAUCAGCCAGCGGUGGGAAUGAAAGGCAAGUUUUCCCAUGAAGCAAGGCAUUUUGACCCAUAGCAGAGUAAACCUGUUGUUGAGUAAGAGGCAUUCCUGUUAUAGACCAAGGAGAACUGGAGACAGAAAGUUCAAGUCUGUUUGAGGAUGCAUUGUGGACGGUAAUCUCAGUGUUCUCAAUUUGUUAUUGUAAAGAAAGGAAAGAAGCAUAUUCCAGGACUGACAGAUACUACUGUGCCUCAUCCAUUGGGACCUAAAAGAGCUAGUAGAAUGUGAAAGCUUUUUAAUCUCUCCAAAGAUGACGUCUGCCAGUAUGUUGUCAGGAAGCCCUAAAACAAAGAUUGUAAGAAGCCCAGGACCAUGUUACUCCACGUGUCCAGCAACACAAAGGCCGACCUAUUGCUCUGAAGAAACAACACACUAAGACAAACAAGGAGGAGGCUGCAGAAUACACUAAACUCUUGGCUCAGAGGAUGAAGGAAACCAAAGAAAAGAGCCAGGAACAGAUUGCCAAGAGACGUAGGCUGCCCUCGCUGAGAGAUUCUACUUCUAAGUCUGAGUCCAGUCAGAAAUGA
rnacentral:lncRNA from 1 species